AGUUCGCUUCGCUCGUGUGCAGUGGAAAUCCUUUUGUGCCGGUCCCGAGGCUUCGGGAGGCGCAAAAGAUUGCAACGGAUAGCGGGAAAAAGC
rnacentral:sRNA from 1 species